UACGAAGGGGGCUAGCGUUGUUCGGAAUUACUGGGCGUAAAGCGCACGUAGGCGGGUUGUUAAGUCAGGGGUGAAAUCCUGGAGCUCAACUCCAGAACUGCCUUUGAUACUGGCAACCUAGAGACUGGAAGAGGUUAGUGGAAUUCCCAGUGUAGGGGUGAAAUUCGUAGAUAUUGGGAAGAACACCGGUGGCGAAGGCGGCAUCCUGGACCGGCAUUGACGCGUGAGGCGCGAAAGCCAGGGGAGCAAACGGG
rnacentral:rRNA from 1 species